rnacentral:misc_RNA from 1 species
GAAAUGCGAUAAUUAAUGUGAAUUGCAGAAUUCAGUGAAUCAUCGAGUCUUUGAACGCACAUUGCACCCCCUGGUAUUCCGGGGGGUAUGCCUGUCCGAGCGUCAUUGCUGCCCUCAAGCACGGCUUGUGUGUUGGGUCGUCGUCCCCCCCCCCCGGGGACGGGCCCGAAAGGCAGCGGCGGCACCGCGUCCGGUCCUCGAGCGUAUGGGGCUUUGUCACCCGCUCUUGUAGGCCCGGCCGGCGCUGGCCGACGCUGAAAAGCAACCAACUAUUUCUCCAGGUUGACCUCGGAUCAGGUAGGGAUACCCGCUGAACUUAAGC